GAUGAACGCUGGCGGCGUGCCUAACACAUGCAAGUCGAACGAAGCACCUUACCGGAUUCUUCGGAUGAAAGUUUGGUGACUGAGUGGCGGACGGGUGAGUAACGCGUGGGUAACCUGCCCUGUACAGGGGGAUAACAGCUGGAAACGGCUGCUAAUACCGCAUAAGCGCACGAGGAGACAUCUCCUAGUGUGAAAAACUCCGGUGGUACAGGAUGGGCCCGCGUCUGAUUAGCUGGUUGGCAGGGUAACGGCCUACCAAGGCAACGAUCAGUAGCCGGUCUGAGAGGAUGAACGGCCACAUUGGAACUGAGACACGGUCCAAACUCCUACGGGAGGCAGCAGUGGGGAAUAUUGCACAAUGGGGGAAACCCUGAUGCAGCAACGCCGCGUGAGUGAAGAAGUAUUUCGGUAUGUAAAGCUCUAUCAGCAGGGAAGAUAAUGACGGUACCUGACUAAGAAGCUCCGGCUAAAUACGUGC
rnacentral:rRNA from 1 species